GCCGGUGUGGCGGAAUGGCAGACGCGACCGACUCAAACUCGGUUGCCCGCAAGGGCGUGUGGGUGGGCCCACGCCAUCAGAGGCUCCGCGCGUCGCGAAGCGGCGUGUGGAGAGACGGCGGGGACGACUCCCACCACAUCGGCG
rnacentral:tRNA from 1 species